AAACGAGCUUGUGAUCUUUAUUAUCUUAUUUUCUUUCCCGCAUCUCUUGCACUCUGCCUUCCGAGCAAUAGGAUGUGCUGGUCGAAAUAUAUAUUUUAAAUAUAAAAAGAAGGAAGAGAGGAAUUUAAUGGCACGCGCGUGUGCCGGCGAUCAGAAGUCAUACGUGUAAAGUAGUUAGGUGUGGCUGAUCUUAACAUCUGUUUGGCUGAGGGAACGUUGGCAUCAAGUCAUCCAAAGUUAGGUGGAGCAAGCAUUCACGAGACUUACUUGGGUACAACAGCCAAAGGCAGCACCACCAAAUCAUCCAAUUAGCGAUCAAAGAGCCAAGCCCAC
rnacentral:lncRNA from 1 species